AGUAUUGCGCCGGGUGAACGGGAAUCAUUGAUGUUGAUUAUUAUGAGAAUUAUUAUUUUUCAAUACUA
rnacentral:tRNA from 1 species